rnacentral:lncRNA from 1 species
UACAAGGAGCUGGACAGAGGGACAAGGAGAUGGACAAGGGUACAAGGAGAUGGACAGAGGGACAAGGAGCUGGACAGAGGGACAAGGAGCUGCUUUGUGCCCGGAGCAGGGACAGCUGGAGGGCCGGGCCACCACCGCUGCCACCCCGCGGUGUCCCGAGAGACUUCGGGCACGGGGACAGGGUCCCCCUAACCCCGGUGGGGGACAGUUUGGGGGUCCAGGCAGGUGCUGCAGGACCAGGAGCACCCUCGGUCUGUCGCCUCUCCCCGCUCCCCCAGGGUCCCCCCGCCCUGGGCACCUCCAGGUGCCACCACAGGAGCUGGCAGAUGUCCCUCGGUGCCCGGAGGUCGCUGCCCGGCUCCCCCCGGCUCCUUCUAGCCAGGUUUGCACGGCGCCGCUCCCGGCUGGGAUCAAACACCCCAGAGCCGCUGUGGGAGCCCAGCACGGCCUGGCACAGGUGCCAGCUGUCCCCAGACCAUCCUGUGACCCGUGCUCGAGUCCCUCUGCCAUCACCCAGCUGGAAAGGGACAGUCCCAUUGAAGCCACCACCAGCCCAUACUCCAUCUUCAACACCGCAGGUGACCCCGACCCCCAAAUCCCUGAAUCUCACAUUUCUCCGAGUUAACAGGGAUGAGGUGCACCCCAAAAAGGCCGUGGCACCCCAAAAAGGCGGUGGCACCCCAAAAAGGCCGUGGCACCCCCCGGGUGAGGCGGGGGGAAGGAGCCCCCCCUGCCACGCGUGUUGCAGGGGCGGGUGAAGCCCCCUCCCCUCCCCCGGGGGUGCUGGUACGGGGGUCCCCGUCCCCUCCGCGCGUCCCCGGACGGGGAGCACACACCCAGCCCGAGGGGAGAGGAAACAUCUGGCAACGCUGAGUCCGGCUGAGCAACGCCGGAGCUGGGCCCAAACAUCUGGAUUUCCCUGGAAACCGGGGAAGGGAAGGGGGAGAAGAGCUCCCUGCGGGACAAGCGGCGGGGGCUGGGGCAGGGGCUGGCUGAAGGGAC